rnacentral:rRNA from 1 species
AAUGAACGCUGGCGGCGUGCUUAACACAUGCAAGUCGAGCGAGGCCUGGGGGGCGAGCUCCCACGAGUCGAGCGGCGGACGGGUGAGUAACACGUGGGUAACCGUGCCCGGAAGUGGGGAAGUACCUCGGGGAAACGUCGAGCUAAUACCGCAUGACAUCUUCGGGACGAAAGUCCUGACGAUCAAAGCGGGGUCGCAAGAUCUCGCGCUACCGGAUGGGCCCGCGCCCGAUUAGCUAGNGGUGAGGUAACGGCUCACCAAGGCUUCGAUCGGUAACCGGCCUGAGAGGGCGAUCGGUCACACCGGAACUGAGACACGGUCCGGACUCCUACGGGAGGCAGCAGUGGGGAAUCUUGCGCAAUGGGCGAAAGCCUGACGCAGCAACGCCG